rnacentral:rRNA from 1 species
AUAAUGGGUCAGCGACUUAUAUUCUGUAGCAAGGUUAACCGAAUAGGGGAGCCGAAGGGAAACCGAGUCUUAACUGGGCGUUAAGUUGCAGGGUAUAGACCCGAAACCCGGUGAUCUAGCCAUGGGCAGGUUGAAGGUUGGGUAACACUAACUGGAGGACCGAACCGACUAAUGUUGAAAAAUUAGCGGAUGACUUGUGGCUGGGGGUGAAAGGCCAAUCAAACCGGGAGAUAGCUGGUUCUCCCCGAAAGCUAUUUAGGUAGCGCCUCGUGAAUUCAUCUCCGGGGGUAGAGCACUGUUUCGGCAAGGGGGUCAUCCCGACUUACCAACCCGAUGCAAACUGCGAAUACCGGAGAAUGUUAUCACGGGAGACACACGGCGGGUGCUAACGUCCGUCGUGAAGAGGGAAACAACCCAGACCGCCAGCUAAGGUCCCAAAGUCAUGGUUAAGUGGGAAACGAUGUGGGAAGGCCCAGACAGCCAGGAUGUUGGCUUAGAAGCAGCCAUCAUUUAAAGAAAGCGUAAUAGCUCACUGGUCGAGUCGGCCUGCGCGGAAGAUGUAACGGGGCUAAACCAUGCACCGAAGCUGCGGCAGCGACGCUGAUGCGUUGUUGGGUAGGGGAGCGUUCUGUAAGCCUGCGAAGGUGUGCUGUGAGGCAUGCUGGAGGUAUCAGAAGUGCGAAUGCUGACAUAAGUAACGAUAAAGCGGGUGAAAAGCCCGCUCGCCGGAAGACCAAGGGUUCCUGUCCAACGUUAAUCGGGGCAGGGUGAGUCGACCCCUAAGGCGAGGCCGAAAGGCGUAGUCGAUGGGAAACAGGUUAAUAUUCCUGUACUUGGUGUUACUGCGAAGGGGGGACGGAGAAGGCUAUGUUGGCCGGGCGACGGUUGUCCCGGUUUAAGCGUGUAGGCUGGUUUUCCAGGCAAAUCCGGAAAAUCAAGGCUGAGGCGUGAUGACGAGGCACUACGGUGCUGAAGCAACAAAUGCCCUGCUUCCAGGAAAAGCCUCUAAGCAUCAGGUAACAUCAAAUCGUACCCCAAACCGACACAGGUGGUCAGGUAGAGAAUACCAAGGCGCUUGAGAGAACUCGGGUGAAGGAACUAGGCAAAAUGGUGCCGUAACUUCGGGAGAAGGCACGCUGAUAUGUAGGUGAAGUCCCUCGCGGAUGGAGCAGAAAUCAGUCGAAGAUACCAGCUGGCUGCAACUGUUUAUUAAAAACACAGCACUGUGCAAACACGAAAGUGGACGUAUACGGUGUGACGCCUGCCCGGUGCCGGAAGGUUAAUUGAUGGGGUCAGCGCAAGCGAAGCUCUUGAUCGAAGCCCCGGUAAACGGCGGCCGUAACUAUAACGGUCCUAAGGUAGCGAAAUUCCUUGUCGGGUAAGUUCCGACCUGCACGAAUGGCGUAAUGAUGGCCAGGCUGUCUCCACCCGAGACUCAGUGAAAUUGAACUCGCUGUGAAGAUGCAGUGUACCCGCGGCAAGACGGAAAGACCCCGUGAACCUUUACUAUAGCUUGACACUGAACAUUGAGCCUUGAUGUGUAGGAUAGGUGGGAGGCUUUGAAGUGUGGACGCCAGUCUGCAUGGAGCCGACCUUGAAAUACCACCCUUUAAUGUUUGAUGUUCUAACGUUGACCCGU